CAAGUCGACGAUGAACCUUAGCUUGCUAGGGGAAUUAGUGGCGAACGGGUGAGUAAUAUAUCGGAACGUACCUUGUAAUGGGGGAUAACUAGUCGAAAGAUUAGCUAAUACCGCAUACGCCCUGAGGGGGAAAGUAGGGGAUCUUCGGACCUUACGUUAUAAGAGCGGCCGAUAUCUGAUUAGCUAGUUGGUGGGGUAAUGGCCUACCAAGGCGACGAUCAGUAGCUGGUCUGAGAGGACGACCAGCCACACUGGAACUGAGACACGGUCCAGACUCCUACGGGAGGCAGCAGUGGGGAAUUUUGGACAAUGGGCGAAAGCCUGGUCCAGCCAUUCCGCGUGAGUGAAGAAGGCCUUCGGGUUGUAAAGCUCUUUCGCAAGGGAAGAAAACUUACAUUCUAAUAAAGUGUGAGGCUGACGGUACCUUGAUAAGAAGCACCGGCUAACUACGUGCCAGCAGCCGCGGUAAUACGUAGGGUGCGAGCGUUAAUCGGAAUUACUGGGCGUAAAGCGUGCGCAGGCGGUUUGGCAAGUCAGAUGUGAAAUCCCCGAGCUCAACUUGGGAACUGCGUUUGAAACUGCCAGACUAGAAUAUGUCAGAGGGGGGUAGAAUUCCACGUGUAGCAGUGAAAUGCGUAGAGAUGUGGAGGAUACCAAUGGCGAAGGCAGCCCCCUGGGAUAAUAUUGACGCUCAUGCACGAAAGCGUGGGGAGCAAACAGGAUUAGAUACCCUGGUAGUCCACGCCCUAAACGAUGUCUACUAGUUGUUGGUGGAGUAAAAUCCAUGAGUAACGCAGCUAACGCGUGAAGUAGACCGCCUGGGGAGUACGGUCGCAAGAUUAAAACUCAAAGGAAUUGACGG
rnacentral:rRNA from 1 species